CACAAAAAGACAAAAGAAGUGGGUUCAUAUCCAAAUUGUCCUGGAUGUAUUUUUAAGGAAUUUCUGAAAUUGGUCCAUUUGUAGUGUGCCACGUGGCAGAUGGUGAUUGGCCUACUUGAAUAGAAUAAAAGAUAUGAGAAGUGGGUAAUAUCCCAUAAUUGCUGGGUUGCCUUCUCCUCCUUGGCGCGACCUGAAAUGGAAAACCAUUCCAGAUUCAUCAAAUCUUGUGUAACUCAUAACUUCAGUUGUAGGAGUCAGAUUAACGAACCGUUUCGGCCGUCAUGAUCUUGAGGAUGAGCUCUAUGACUUGAGUAUUGGGAUCGGACCUCAAUCGUUUGGGAGGUCGAUCCUCGUCAGACGAGCCAUGGCUUGGUCCUGCAUCGCCAUCAGCAAGCGCUCUCUUCGACUUAAUGUCUGCCUGAGCAUUGUCCUCGCCAAGAACAUUAGCAUCCUCAUUGGAGCCAGAAGCAUAUUGUCUCAUCUUAUCAUUGAUAACUUUGUCCCACACUAGACUGAGCCCUGUUUUCUUCACACUAAAUUGGGGUCCAAAAUCUACGAUAACCUCAACUUCAUCACAGGCCGCCAAAUUGAACACAUUGUUUGAUAGAUUUCCCUGCCAAAGAUGAUCUUCAUGAGAUGCUACCACGUCUAUUGCAACCGGCCUCGAGGUUCCUUGGGGGAUUUUUCACGGACAACUUCUCUUCCCAUGUCUCGAAGCAAAUCAUGCAUCGUGAGCUUGUUUCUUUCACUAACAGUUACAAGGCAUCGUUGAAGGAGAACACUGAUUUCUAUUUCUGCAAAAAAGCCACACCCAUCCAAUAUUUGUUUGACAUAGUUCUUGUCCUUUCCAAUAAAGAAACAAGAUAUAUCAAGGAAAAUAUCCCUCUGUUUAUCGUCGCUUAACCCAUCAAAGCUUAUUCUGAGCUUUUUCUGAAUUUGGUCAUGAGGAAUUCUUUUCAAUUUCUCCAA